UCCUGAUAUCUAAAGGAGAGAAGCUUUUCAUUGGCUCAUUUUACAUCACUGGUUUUCUCCUUGGCUAGAAUCCUGAUCAGCCAAAAUUUCUUAUGAAGGAUUCUUUUUCAAGGGUUUCCUGAACCGUUUACUUUCACCAGAGGGUAAGAACAUGCACUACUUCUUCGCAAUUGAAGUGAGAAGCGUUCUACACAAGGAGAAUGUUACAGGAGAAUGCAUUGCUAUUGGACACCUUAUAAAUUCAAGGG